GGAAGACAGAAGAAAAAAGCAAUGAGGGUUGGCCUCACCUUCUUGGAACCCAGCUUCACCAACUGGAAUGGGAGUUUCCCAUUAUCAAAUUUUGUUUCCUGUUAGUUCCCCUUACCAGCCAUUGCCACCACCACCACCAUCACCAUGGAAGUGCUCGGGGCCUGGAGUGCCAGAAAAUGGAGAGAUGGAAGAGGAAACAAAAAAAAAGCAAACACAGUGCAGUGCUGCUCUCUCUCUGAGCAUUGGAAGUUCCCUUUCCAGCUCCUCGAGCCAUUACCAGAGGGAUUGUUUGACUGGUGCCCAUUUUCUGGGUCACCAGUGCUUUGUGUUCAGGUCAGGGGAUAUUGGAAGAACAAAAUGUCAAACUCACUGCCGAUUCAGUGGCACUUUUAAGUUUGGUCUUCUGCAGUCUUCCUCUGAUAUUUAAUUUCUCUGUCUUCAGGCUGUUCCCUGCUUUCUCUCAAGUUUCUAUAGCUGUAUUCAUUGAGGGAGACAGGGUGCUGAGUUUAAAGGAAUGAGUGUGGCUUCUGCCCUGGAGGAUCUUACAGUUUGAGAGGAGGAAGAAGAAAGCUAAGAAAUAAUGAUCAUGGCACAUGAAGAAGAUGAAGAAGGUUCUUCUCCUUGAAACACUUCCAUCCAUCCCCUUGUAAUGCCUCAGUGUCCUGCUAUUACGUCUGUGGAGUCAUCGUCUAUAUGGAAGAAAACUCCAUCUGAAAUUCAGUGGGGACUUUUGAAAAGUGCAGUAGGCCCAAUCCAAAUUAGGUCUGAAAGGCUGCAAACAGAAGGUCAGAUAAAGCUAAACUUCAAAACAAAUGAAAAAAAGAAAAGGGAAGAAAAAAGAAUGGUUUGAGCGCUGUGUGAACUUCUGAAGAUCAGCUUCAAGGAUGCUGUGGAGAGAAGACAAAAUUACAUCCUGGGAAGAGCAUGAAGCAGAGAUCUGUGGACUCCCACUGAGAAAAGUUGACAUCACUGCACACUUCCCCCAUGAGGGUGCCUCGUCUCUUUGUCUCCCAAGAGACUGAGAAGGAGCUGGGUGGCUGGGUCUCCGCAUUGUCCAAAUGCCAGAAGAGCAAGGAGACAAGGGAACAGUGGGACUUGCUGCCAUUACCCCAGCAGGGGACAGCAGUCUGCUGCAUCUACACUAGCAAUCCCUGGGGGUAGAGAACACUUUACCUCCCAAAACCUGGGAGGUGAUGGAAUACAACAAGAUCUGUAAAAAUACGGAGAAAAAAGGCAACAUAUUAAGGUUCCAUCUGUUAGAGUGCGGAAACUUAGGUGGAAGAAACUACGUACAUCCAGUGAAAUAAGAUUGUUGGGGAGAUGUAUGAAAGCCUGAAUAAAAAAAAUUCGAAUCAUUUCAGUGAUUCAGAUCCAAGUGUAGAAUGAAAAGGACUUUUCAAAACCUAACAAUAGUUCCCUACUAAACAAUUAAAUGAAAUAAUACAAAGAAAAAACAAUUAAUUUUGAGUUCUAAUUGGUGGCCUCAAAUAUUAAGUGCAAAACAUAUUUGAAGCAGUGAGCAAAAAGCAUAAAGAGAUAACAAAUGUAGUGGAAAAGAUGAGAAAUCUGGGUGGUGGUUCCAGGAGACCAGGGUUCUGGAAAGAAGGAAAGAGAAAAAAAAUAAAACAUACGGAGAUGUCAAAAUUCAAAAACUGUUUAAAAAAACCCAGAUCAAUAAAAUUGUAUGUAGUGAAAGUUUAUUGUGUAUGUAGUAACAGUUCAUGAACUGAGAGUCUCCGAACCAGCAGUGGAAUGAAGCUCAGAGGCCUGUUGCUGUAGGAAAUCUUAUACACUGGAAAUGCAGAAGGUAUUUAAUCUUCAUAAUGAUUGGUUAUAGCAUUGGGGUUUUUCCCCAGACAGAGGAUUGGUUAAAGGUGGUAAUCUUAUGCUAUUUUUGGAAAACAAUUUAGGUUUCAUUCCUGACUUUCAGAAGCUUUUACAAGAAAACAGCCCACGUUAAGUUUCGCUUAUAUCGCAGGAUAGGCUAAAUUGGAUUUCAACUUAACUGGUUUUGUCUGCCCAGGGAAUUUUCAAAUCUGGUAUCCAUUUUGUAUUUUAUUUUACUAGAGAUGGUAAUUAAACACAUAAUGAAGCUAAUUCUCCUUGGGCCAAAUAAAGUUCUAAGUCUGUGGUAUGAAUGUACCUGGGCAUAGAUUGUGGUAUUCCUAAAAUAUGACAAAGAUAAGACAAGGAUGCAGAAGCAGCACAGCAAAGAUGCAUGAAUUUUCUAUGCUUCUGGGAAACAAUGCGAAAGGUUGAAUGGGAUUAAAUAAUCAUGGUGAUACUUAGUUUUAAAAUGAAGAUGACUGGGUCUUAAGGAGUGGAAUGACACUUUUAAAAAAUGAAGGUGACAGAAAAAUGUACAGAAUCAGACUGAGCUGUCACUAAAGAUGAGUGCCAUUCAGCUGAAAAAGGGUGAGGGAUGGAUAACAGAUCAGAGUUCAUAGAAGUUAUUGGAAAAAUAAAAUUGUCCCAUGUUUAUACCCUGAUGAGUCAAGACUGUUCAGUCAAACUGAUUAUACUUAUUUGCACACUGUCUCUUGUGAUUUGUCUCUUUGCUCUAAAAAUAAGUGUCAAAACAGCUCUGAUUAAUUGUAGUCUGGUGAAUGGGUUCUAUUUCCUAGAGGUUUUAUUGGUCAUUGAUGUGUGGAGAUGGAACCUUCAAUAUAUAGACUAAUUGUCCCCAUCACUCAUGGAAAACACUAAGACCCGGAAAGGACACCACAUAGCUCUUUGGAUUAUAAUGCUAGCAAACAUAUAUAAAAAUUACUGCAGGGGAGAAAGAGCUGAAUUUACAAAUGUAAAGAGGUAUUAGGCAAACUUUAUAGGUCAGUAUUUUUGUGUCUGUGAGCAUGCUGAUAUUUUUAAGCUAUAGUCAAGGUAAAUGAGCUAAGUAAGAAACUGAUUUUUAAGAUAUGUUUGUCAGCUAAUAUAGCAACAAAUGACUCAAUUUAAAAUCUGAGGUGAAAGAUACAUGUGUCUAAAUUGGUAAUAAACUACAUCUAUAUUCUGGGUCUGAUCUUUAGUAUUUUGCUAAUUUUGAUGUGAAUUCAAUAAAUAUUUUUGAACACAUGAUCAAAUUUUAUCAUACUAUCAUAACUCCUUGAUGGUUCAGGACAUCUGAUUCCAAGAGUCUAUUUUGAUGUCCCCAAGAAUUUACUCAUUUCUAUUGUUCCAGGUAUCCUAGUUUUUAGGUAAAACUGCUCUAGCAAGAUCUUUUAGCCAGAUAUUUUACCAAUUAUAUUAUUUUAAUACAAGAUGUUCUCUAUCAAAAUUCCACCUUACAGCUAG
ensembl:lncRNA